rnacentral:rRNA from 1 species
UUAGUGGCGGACGGGUGAGUAACGCGUGGGUAACCUGCCUUAUACAGGGGGAUAACACUUAGAAAUAGGUGCUAAUACCGCAUAAGCGCACGGGGCUGCAUGGCCCAGUGUGAAAAACUCCGGUGGUAUAAGAUGGACCCGCGUCUGAUUAGCCAGUUGGCAGGGUAACGGCCUACCAAAGCGACGAUCAGUAGCCGGCCUGAGAGGGCGGACGGCCACACUGGGACUGAGACACGGCCCAGACUCCUACGGAAGGCAGCAG